rnacentral:rRNA from 1 species
UACGUAGGGUGCAAGCGUUAAUCGGAAUUACUGGGCGUAAAGCGUGCGCAGGCGGCUUUGCAAGACAGAUGUGAAAUCCCCGGGCUCAACCUGGGAACUGCAUUUGUGACUGCAUGGCUGGAGUGCGGCAGAGGGGGAUGGAAUUCCGCGUGUAGCAGUGAAAUGCGUAGGUAUGCGGAGGAACACCGAUGGCGAAGGCAAUCCCCUGGGCCUGAACUGACGCUCAUGCACGAAAGCGUGGGGAGCAAACAGG